GGGUCUGUGGUUCAGUGGUAGAAUUCUUCGUUGUGGUGUUAUUCUUACACUUCCAAAUCCGAAGCGACCCGUGUUCGAUUCACGGCAGGCCCA
rnacentral:tRNA from 1 species